rnacentral:rRNA from 1 species
UACGUAGGGGGCAAGCGUUUGUCCGGAUUUAUUGGGCGUAAAGAGCGUGUAGGCGGUUUGGUAGGUCCGCUGUGAAAACUCGAGCUCAACCUCGAGACGCCGGUGGAAACCAUCAGACUAGAGUCCGGAAGAGGAGAGUGGAAUUCCUGGUGUAGCGGUGAAAUGCGCAGAUAUACAGGAAGAACACCCGUGGCUAAGGCGGCCCUCUAGUACGGUACUGACGCUGAGAACGCGGAAAGCGUGGGGAGGCGAACAGG